rnacentral:rRNA from 1 species
UACGAAGGGGGCGAGCGUUGUUCGGAUUUACUGGGCGUAAAGGGCGCGCAGGCGGCCAUUCAAGUCAGGUGUGAAAGCCCCGGGCUUAACCUGGGAGGUGCGUCUGGGACUGGGUGGCUAGAGAUCGGGAGAGGAGAGUGGAAUUCCCAGUGUAGAGGUGAAAUGCGUAGAUAUUGGGAAGAACACCGGUGGCGAAGGCGGCUCUCUGGACCGAUACUGACGCUGAGGAGCGAAAGCGUGGGGAGCGAACAGG